rnacentral:rRNA from 1 species
UGCAACUCGCCUGCACGAAGCUGGAAUCGCUAGUAAUCGCGGAUCAGCACGCCGCGGUGAAUACGUUCCCGGGCCUUGUACACACCGCCCGUCACACCAUGGAAGUCUGCAAUGCCCAAAGUCGGUGAGAUAACCUUUAUAGGAGUCAGCCGCCUAAGGCAGGGCAGAUGACUGGGGUGAAGUCGUAACAAGGUAGCCGUAGGAGAACCUGCGGCUGGAUCACCUCCUUUCUAAGGAA